rnacentral:rRNA from 1 species
GAUGAACGCUGGCGGCGUGCCUAAUACAUGCAAGUCGAGCGAACAGACGAGGAGCUUGCUCCUCUGACGUUAGCGGCGGACGGGUGAGUAACACGUGGAUAACCUACCUAUAAGACUGGGAUAACUUCGGGAAACCGGAGCUAAUACCGGAUAAUAUAUUGAACCGCAUGGUUCAAUAGUGAAAGACGGUUUUGCUGUCACUUAUAGAUGGAUCCGCGCCGCAUUAGCUAGUUGGUAAGGUAACGGCUUACCAAGGCAACGAUGCCUAGCCGACCUGAGAGGGGGAACGGGCCCACUGGAACCUAGGACCCGGCCCGACCCCUAAGGGGGGGAAGAAGAGGGGAAUUUUCGGAAAGGGGGGAAGGCCGGAGGGGCCAACCCGGGGUGGGGAAGGAGGGUUUUCGAUCGUAAAACCUUUUUUUUUGGGAAAAAAAAAAUUGUAAGGAACCUUGCCCCUUUUGAAGGGAACUAAUCAAAAAGCCACGGCUAAAUUCGGG